rnacentral:rRNA from 1 species
UACGUAGGGUGCAAGCGUUGUCCGGAAUUAUUGGGCGUAAAGAGCUCGUAGGCGGUUUGUUGCGUCGGCUGUGAAAUCCCGAGGCUCAACCUCGGGUCUGCAGUCGAUACGAGCAAACUAGAGUGUUGCAGGGGAGACUGGAAUUCCUGGUGUAGCGGUGAAAUGCGCAGAUAACAGGAGGAACACCGGUGGCGAAGGCGGGUCUCUGGGCCGAUAUUGACGCUGAGGAGCGAAAGCGUGGGGAGCAAACAGG